rnacentral:lncRNA from 1 species
AGUGGAAUCAAGAUACCUUAAGAACAAUCCGAGUCGUAGUGAAUUGACUGUAAUUAAGAGACUGGCUCCCAGGGAAACCGUGAAGCUACAACUAAACAACCCUCUCAAGCCUCACAGUGAGUUUUCUGAGGGGCAAAGCAGAAGCUGGCUCACAGUCAGUUCUUCAAACUCCGCACAACUCCUGGCAUCCUCUGUACAUUUGCUCCUAAAAAGACAUCACCGCCAUAUUCAGUAUGGAAAUUAAAAAGGUUUUGAUCUCAACAAAAAAGUCAAGAGUAAGAGAGAAGCAUGACACAACCGAAAUCCAUGUCCUCCAAUCAGUUCUUGACUGCCCCAAGCACGGCUGAGCCAAUCCCUGUACGCACGCAACGAAGGCUGUGGGGACCAGCAAUGCUUCAAGGAUGCUAACCUCAUAAUGCCAGCACUCAUUCCAAAGAGGUACUGUGUCCACAAGGCCACAGAAUCCACAGGGACAGCUCAGCAGCUGUGCAGGAGAUGCCACCAUCUCCAGAGAUCAGUUUCAGAGAGGACUUUGGGCUGACUAUUCAGGUCCAUUCAGACCUGAAUGGACCCACUGCAACUGGUCAGAGACUAUCACCUUUGUGAGUCAAGGAAGAAAAAAAAAACUUUUCUGGCUUUGGUUUGCACACGAAGCAGAGACGUGUAGAUACUACCAGCAAAUGUUUUACUAAGUUUCAGAAUCUUAUCAAGAGGCACAUUCACGACAAACACGAAACUGUAACCAUCACCCAGUAACGGAAUGUUCAGAGCGAUGACAAUGACGAAGAUGCCAGGGACGGCAGCUAGCCUUUCAGGCAUCGGCCCGGCUCAUAUAUCUGAACACCAGGAUUAGACUCCAAGGCUGCAGCCCCAAGUCUAGAAGCCAAUCUCAGACCUUACCAGCCUCAUAAAGCUUAUGAGCUAUGGCAUGAAAGAGGAAGUGGUCUCUGUAUCUGGAAAUAACUGAAUGGGAAGUGGCUUAAAAUUUCCAAAUACAGUUUUUCUUUCCUCUGUUUCCAGGAAAGUCUUGAUAGUAAAAGCAACAAUUUGAGGAAAGUUGACUUCUAAACC